rnacentral:rRNA from 1 species
UACGUAGGGGGCAAGCGUUGUCCGGAUUUAUUGGGCGUAAAGAGCGUGUAGGCGGCUUGGUAGGUCCGCUGUGAAAACUCGAGGCUCAACCUCGAGAUGUCGGCGGAAACCACUUGGCUAGAGUCCGGAAGAGGAGAGUGGAAUUCCGUGGUGUAGCGGUGAAAUGCGCAGAUAUCAGGAGGAACACCGAUGGCGAAGGCAGGUCUCUGGGCCACUACUGACGCUGAGAAGCGAAAGCAUGGGGAGCGAACAGG